rnacentral:rRNA from 1 species
AACGAACGCUGGCGGCAUGCCUAACACAUGCAAGUCGAACGAUUGCCUUCGGGUGAUAGUGGCGCACGGGUGCGUAACGCGUGGGAAUCUGCCCUUAGGUUCGGAAUAACAGCUGGAAACGGCUGCUAAUACCGGAUGAUAUCGCGAGAUCAAAGAUUUAUCGCCUGAGGAUGAGCCCGCGUUGGAUUAGGUAGUUGGUGGGGUAAAGGCCUACCAAGCCGACGAUCCAUAGCUGGUCUGAGAGGAUGAUCAGCCACACUGGGACUGAGACACGGCCCAGACUCCUACGGGAGGCAGCAGUGGGGAAUAUUGGACAAGGGGCGCAAGCCUGUUCCAGCAAUGCCGCGUGAGUGAUGAAGGCCCUAGGGUUGUAAAGCUCUUUUACCCGGGAAGAUAAUGACUGUACCGGGAGAAUAAGCCCCGGCUAACUCCGUG